rnacentral:rRNA from 1 species
GGCGGACGGGUGAGUAACACGUAGGUGACCUGCCCCGAAGUGUGGAAUAACAGUCCGAAAGGAUUGCUAAUACCGCAUGUGGUCGAUGAGAUUAGAGACUUGUCGAUUAAAGCAGUAAUGUGCUUCGGGAGGGGCCUGCGCCCCAUCAGCUAGUUGGUAGGGUAAUGGCCUACCAAGGCUACAACGGGUAGGAGGCCUGAGAGGGUGACCCCCCACAUUGGCACUGACACACGGGCCAAACUCCUACGGGAGGCAGCAGUGAGGAAUAUUGCUCAAUGGGCGAAAGCCUGAAGCAGCAACGCCGCGUGCGCGAUGAAGGCCUUCGGGUCGUAAAGCGCUUUUGAGAGGGACGAGAUAGGACGGUACCUUUCGAAUAAGUCACGGCUAACUACGUGCCAGCAGCCGCGGUAAAACGUAGGUGGCAAGCGUUAUCCGGAUUCACUGGGCGUAAAGCGCGUGCAGGUGGCUUCGUAAGUUGGACGUUAAAUCUCCCGGCCUAACCGGGAAGUGUCGUUCAAUACUGCGAGGCUCGAGGGCAGAAGAGGGGGGUGGAAUUGC